UACCGGAUAAGCCCUUACGGGGAAAGAUUUAUCGCCGAAAGAUCGGCCCGCGUCUGAUUAGCUAGUUGGUGAGGUAAUGGCUCACCAAGGCGACGAUCAGUAGCUGGUCUGAGAGGAUGAUCAGCCACAUUGGGACUGAGACACGGCCCAAACUCCUACGGGAGGCAGCAGUGGGGAAUAUUGGACAAUGGGCGCAAGCCUGAUCCAGCCAUGCCGCGUGAGUGAUGAAGGCCCUAGGGUUGUAAAGCUCUUUUGUGCGGGAAGAUAAUGACGGUACCGCAAGAAUAAGCCCCGGCUAACUUCGUGCCAGCAGCCGCGGUAAUACGAAGGGGGCUAGCGUUGCUCGGAAUCACUGGGCGUAAAGGGUGCGUAGGCGGGUCUUUAAGUCAGGGGUGAAAUCCUGGAGCUCAACUCCAGAACUGCCUUUGAUACUGAAGAUCUUGAGUUCGGGAGAGGUGAGUGGAACUGCGAGUGUAGAGGUGAAAUUCG
rnacentral:rRNA from 1 species